CCGCGGUAAUACGGAGGGUGCAAGCGUUAUCCGGAUUCACUGGGUUUAAAGGGUGCGUAGGUGGGUUGGUAAGUCAGUGGUGAAAUCUCCGAGCUUAACUUGGAAACUGCCAUUGAUACUAUCAGUCUUGAAUAUUGUGGAGGUCAGCGGAAUAUGUCAUGUAGCGGUGAAAUGCUUAGAUAUGACAUAGAACACCAAUUGCGAAGGCAGCUGGCUACGCAUAUAUUGACACUGAGGCACGAAAGCGUGG
rnacentral:rRNA from 1 species